rnacentral:rRNA from 1 species
GAUGAACGCUGGCGGCGUGCCUAACACAUGCAAGUCGAACGAAGCACCUUACCUGAUUCUUCGGAUGAAAGUUUGGUGACUGAGUGGCGGACGGGUGAGUAACGCGUGGGUAACCUGCCCUGUACAGGGGGAUAACAGCUGGAAACGGCUGCUAAUACCGCAUAAGCGCACGAGGAGACAUCUCCUUGUGUGAAAAACUCCGGUGGUACAGGAUGGGCCCGCGUCUGAUUAGCUGGUUGGCAGGGUAACGGCCUACCAAGGCAACGAUCAGUAGCCGGUCUGAGAGGAUGACCGGCCACAUUGGAACUGAGACACGGUCCAAACUCCUACGGGAGGCAGCAGUGGGGAAUAUUGCACAAUGGGGGAAACCCUGAUGCAGCAACGCCGCGUGAGUGAAGAAGUAUUUCGGUAUGUAAAGCUCUAUCAGCAGGGAAGAUAAUGACGGUACCUGACUAAGAAGCUCCGGCUAAAUACGUG